CCUACGGGAGGCAGCAGUAAGGAAUAUUGGUCAAUGGGGGCAACCCUGAACCAGCCAUGCCGCGUGCAGGAAGACGGCCCUACGGGUUGUAAACUGCUUUUAUACGGGAAUAAACCUCUCUUCGUGAAGAGAGCUGAAUGUACUGUAAGAAUAAGGAUCGGCUAACUCCGUGCCAGCAGCCGCGGUAAUACGGAGGAUCCAAGCGUUAUCCGGAUUUAUUGGGUUUAAAGGGUGCGUAGGCGGCCUAUUAAGUCAGGGGUGAAAGACGGUGGCUCAACCAUCGCAGUGCCCUUGAUACUGAUGGGCUUGAUUACACUUGAGGUAGGCGGAAUGUGACAAGUAGCGGUGAAAUGCAUAGAUAUGUCACAGAACACCAAUUGCGAAGGCAGCUUACUAAGGUGUUAAUGACGCUGAGGCACGAAAGCGUGGGGAUCAAACAGGAUUAGAUACCCUGGUAGUCCACGCCCUAAACGAUGAAUACUCGAUGUUAGCGAUAUACAGUUAGCGUCAAAGCGAAAGCGUCAAGUAUUCCACCUGGGGAGUACGCCCGCAAGGGUGAACGUCAAAUGAAUUGACGGCUGAGACGNGCGAGGACGACGACGAGGGAGGAGG
rnacentral:rRNA from 1 species